GACGAACGCUGGCGGCGUGCCUAAUACAUGCAAGUCGAGCGCAGGAAACUGACGGAACUCUUCGGAGGGAAGGCAGUGGAAUGAGCGGCGGACGGGUGAGUAACACGUAAGGAACCUGCCUCAAGGAUUGGGAUAACUCCGAGAAAUCGGAGCUAAUACCGGAUAGUUCAACGGACCGCAUGGUCCGCUGAUGAAAGGCGCUCCGGCGUCACCUGAGAUGGCCUUGCGGUGCAUUAGCUAGUUGGUGGGGUAACGGCCCACCAAGGCGACGAUGCAUAGCCGACCUGAGAGGGUGAUCGGCCACACUGGGACUGAGACACGGCCCAGACUCCUACGGGAGGCAGCAGUAGGGAAUCUUCCACAAUGGACGAAAGUCUGAUGGAGCAACGCCGCGUGAGUGAUGAAGGUUUUCGGAUCGUAAAACUCUGUUGUAAGGGAAGAACACGUACGAGAGGGAAUGCUCGUACCUUGACGGUACCUUACGAGAAAGCCACGGCUAACUACGUGCCAGCCGCCGCGGUAAGAC
rnacentral:rRNA from 1 species